ACAGAAUAUAGUGGUUAAGAGCGUGGGCUCUGAAACUCCACAGCGGGUUUGGAUCUUGGCUCUGCUCGCCUGUCAGCAGCACGACCUUGGAUGUAUUACCUCACUUCUCUGGGCUUUGGCUUCCUCAUCUGUAAAAUCAGGAUAAUAAGUGGAGUUGCUGUGAAGGUUACAAGAGCACACAGCUCCUUGAACAAGGCUGAGCAUGUCGCUCAAGGUGAGCAUGAUGUUAAAAUGAUGGCUCCGUGGAGUCUCUGCUCCUCUUCUCUCAUUCGGUAUUUUCCAACAAAAGGCACUCUUUGGGGAGAAAGCUCUGAUCAAAGUCCCAUAGGAAAGCCUUAAAUCGCUUGGACUUUGAUUUCCAUUAACCCCGGAGGACGGGGAAGAAAAGUGCAGGUGAUUAUGGUGAAGAAAGCUUAGACCUCCUCCUUAAUGCGCUAGUGCUCCCGAGCAUUUCUCCCCCUGAGUCUCUACAAGACGCAAGUCUCAGAAAAUGCACUGGAAGCCUUCGGGGACAUGCGAUCCCAAAGAACUCAGUCAUCGUCACUGGUCAUUAAGGUGAGUUUCAGUCUGUUUUGUAGCAAGCCUUUGAGGUAGCCUUUUCCUCCCUUCCUUCCUUCCCCUCUUCCUCCCUCUCUUCCUUC
rnacentral:lncRNA from 1 species